rnacentral:lncRNA from 1 species
GUUGUCUUUCUGUAUAUGUUUUAUCUUAUUGGUUGAUGAAUAAAGCACUGUUGGCCAAUAGGCAGCAAGAUAGGCGGGUCUAGGAGAUGAGAAUUCUGGGAAGUGUAAGCAGAGAGCAGUUGUCAUGUGAUCCCAGGAGAAGUCAGGUGUUCUUUGGUAAGAUAAGACCAUGUAGAAAUACUUAGAUUAAUAGAAAUGGGUUAAUAAUUAAGACAGAGCUAGCCAAUAAGAAGCCCAAGCCAACAGCCAACAGUUUCAUAAUUAAUUCAACAUCUGCAUCUUUAUUUGGGGAUCAAGGGCCAUGGGACCUGCUGGGACAAAGAACCUUUUGUAACAGCUGUGUGACAGGCCUGGCUCAGAAGAUAUGACACCCUGACUCCAAGGAUCAGCUGUGGCUGUCAUCCCUGCAAGCAGAGGGGUUGAUUGAAUGACCUUAAAAGCCUCCUACACAGGAGCUGAACGUCUUUUAUUCAAACCAAUCAUCCGGAAAGCAAGCCUCCCACUGGUACUUAGUUCACUCAAGGAAAGAUUAGAAGAACCUGGUUACCAAGCUUUGAGAAGUUGCUCAUAAAAUUCAGCAGGAACCUGCAAUCCUCAGAGACUUCUAUUUUUACCAAAAAACACACACAGAGAAGCGGAGAAUUUUCAAAUGAAUUAGACAUGAGAUUGAUCUUUUUAUAAAAGAGAAAAAAGAACCACGAUGCUAUGUUUGAACUUUCCCUCUCAUCUCCGGUUUCCCUCAGUUGCCUCAUCUUGGUGGCUCAUGGCAGGCCUGAGUUCUGACCCAGAUGCAGCCAAGUCAGUGGCCAGUAGUCAGAGACACACCAAGGACUCCUCAAAACGAUUGUAGUCUUGUCUGCAACUCCAAACCCUGAGACACUCCAAGGGGAGCUGGUCAAGAUGACUCCUCUAGGCCCAACCAAAUGAGAACCAUGCACACAGAAAGGGGCACUAAUGGCCUCAAACAGGACCCACUCAGACAUGGCUGGAAAGAGAACCCUUGGUCCUCAGCUGGUGCUGCAGAGCUAGGAAUUUGUAGAUGUUUCAAAGCUGUCUUCUUUUACAUUCAGCACACUGUGCUCCUCAGCAGGACCAGCUGCCUGGCACACUCAUCUCUACAAAAGCAUUCCAGGGCUGUGUUUCCUCUCCUGAGCUAUGCACAUGCAGUAUCUGUGGUUUAUUCACAGUGCUCUAUGAACCCCACAGGUUCUAUGGCAGUAUCUCCAGAGCCACCAAGUACCCACUGCCCUGAGUCUCUACACACGUUAGCCGGAAAGCUCAAUUUAUAUGUAUGCUUUGCCUUUCAGAACAUCGUCAGCUCCUCUCUGGAUGAGCAACAGAAUCUAUCUAUCAUAUGAGAACACAAGACUGAGGAGAAAUGUCUAGUCUCUAAAGCAGGCCCUGGCAGACCAGUCAGGAUGGAUGCCUUUUGAUCACACACACUUUACCUCUGGAUCUUGUGUGAUCUUCAGCCACCUCUCUCUUCCUUUCUCUUGAUUGGUC